rnacentral:rRNA from 1 species
UACGGAGGGUGCGAGCGUUGCUCGGAAUCACUGGGCGUAAAGCGUACGCAGGCGGAUCGUUAAGUCGGGUGUGAAAUCCCGGGGCUCAACCCCGGAACUGCAUUCGAAACUGGCGGUCUUGAGUACGGGAGAGGGAGGCGGAAUUCCUGGUGUAGAGGUGAAAUUCGUAGAUAUCAGGAGGAACACCGGUGGCGAAAGCGGCCUCCUGGCCCGAUACUGACGCUCAUGUACGAGAGCGUGGGGAGCAAAC